rnacentral:lncRNA from 1 species
AGUUGUCUGUCAGUUGUUUCUGAUUUGUCAUUUUCUAGCUCAUGUCUGUCACAGGCCAUCCUUCUCAACACAUAAUCCUCAAGUAGGGGUGUAGACAUUCCUGUUUUGUUAGACUAAGCAGGGUGGAGUAAAUCUAAAAUUCACAGAAUGAGUCAUCAUAUAAAUAAUACAUGUUGUCAUUUGCCUCCAUGGCCAUUGUUUAAUCAACAAAAAGCACAAACCUCCACCUCUUAACCAAAGACCAACAAUAAUAAGAAGCUGUCUUUAAUCGGAUGAUAUCCCAUCUUUUAGCCUAUGACAGUUCAUACACCCAACAGGAAUAAACAAUUUAUAGGAUGGUCAAAAUGGAGGUUCUAGGAACAUUAUUGAAUUGACAAGGAAAUGAAGAAAAUACAGCUCACUUGAUCCUAUCUAUAUGGCCAUCUCAGUCCUCUAAAAGAAACACCUGAAAAGAAGCAAGAUCUGAUAUGACAUGUAUAGCUGCCAAAUGCCAGACAAGAUGCACCUACGCCUUCCCAUUGACAGAUAUGUGGCUAAUAUUGCCUUCUGGGAAAAUCAUGGGUUACCCAGAAACUUGCCACAUCCUUCCUGUGUCCUUGUCAACACUACAAGGAGAGGAGCCGUCUUAGAAGAUUUGCUAAAAGGCAGAAGCAAUUUCACAGCAAUAGGGGGAAAAAUCUGACCUUUCCAUGCGCAGAAAAUCUCACUUAAGUAAAUAACCUUUUUAGCUGUAAAAUUUUGUUGAGACAUUCAUUUAUCAAAUGCACAGAUAAUCAGAAUGUUUAUCUCUUUUCUCCAUUUAAAAAUUACAUAAAAGGAGUGAAGCAUCACCAUGUGUGAAUAACAGCAAAGAGCUUCCAACAGAGGAACUCAGCACAUAUUAUCAAUUGGGGAGCCACUGAUCCUAGCAGCAGAAGAAUUAAUUACUGGAAUCCUUGUGCCUAUCACUAUUUUGCAUGCUUAAAUAAAACAGGAUUGGGUUCAUUUUAUUUUGUCA